rnacentral:rRNA from 1 species
GACGAACGCUGGCGGCGUGCUUAACACAUGCAAGUCGAACGGAAAGGCCCCGCUUUUGUGGGGUGCUCGAGUGGCGAACGGGUGAGUAACACGUGAGUAACCUGCCCUUGACUUUGGGAUAACUUCAGGAAACUGGGGCUAAUACCGGAUAGGAGCUCCUGCUGCAUGGUGGGGGUUGGAAAGUUUCGGCGGUUGGGGAUGGACUCGCGGCUUAUCAGCUUGUUGGUGGGGUAGUGGCUUACCAAGGCUUUGACGGGUAGCCGGCCUGAGAGGGUGACCGGCCACAUUGAGACUGAGACGCGGCAGAGACUCCUAGGGGGGAGAGGAGUGGAGAAUAGUGCACAAUGGGCGGGAGUGUGAUGGAGCAGCGCCGCGUGGGAGAUGACGGCUUUCGGGUUGAACAGCGCUUUCGCGUGACGAAGCGUGAGUGACGGUAAUGGGUAAAGAAGCACCGGCUAACUACGUG